rnacentral:rRNA from 1 species
UAGGGAAUCUUCCACAAUGGACGCAAGUCUGAUGGAGCAACGCCGCGUGAGUGAAGAAGGUCUUCGGAUCGUAAAGCUCUGUUGUUGGUGAAGAAGGAUAGAGGCAGUAACUGGUCUUUAUUUGACGGUAAUCAACCAGAAAGUCACGGCUAACUACGUGCCAGCAGCCGCGGUAAUACGUAGGUGGCAAGCGUUGUCCGGAUUUAUUGGGCGUAAAGCGAGCGCAGGCGGAAUGAUAAGUCNGAUGUGAAAGCCCACGGCUCACG